GUUUUUGUAGUUAAAUUAUGACGGUGGCUUUUCAAGUCAUUAAUCCUGGUUAAAGCCCUGGCAGAAACU
rnacentral:tRNA from 1 species